rnacentral:rRNA from 1 species
UGGGGAAUUUUGGACAAUGGGCGAAAGCCUGAUCCAGCAAUGCCGCGUGUGUGAAGAAGGCCUUCGGGUUGUAAAGCACUUUUGUCCGGAAAGAAAAUCCUUGGCUCUAAUACAGUCGGGGGAUGACGGUACCGGAAGAAUAAGCACCGGCUAACUACGUGCCAGCAGCCGCGGUAAUACGUAGGGUGCAAGCGUUAAUCGGAAUUACUGGGCGUAAAGCGUGCGCAGGCGGUUUGCUAAGACCGAUGUGAAAUCCCGGGCUCAACCUGGGAACUGCAUGGUGACUGGCAGGCUAGAGUAUGGCAGGAGGGGGGUAGAAUUCCACGUGUGAGCAGUGAAAUGCGUAGAGAUGUGGAGGAAUACCGAUGGCGAAGGCAGCCCCCUGGGCC